rnacentral:rRNA from 2 species
UGUCUCCACCCGAGACUCAGUGAAAUUGAACUCGCUGUGAAGAUGCAGUGUACCCGCGGCAAGACGGAAAGACCCCGUGAACCUUUACUAUAGCUUGACACUGAACAUUGAGCCUUGAUGUGUAGGAUAGGUGGGAGGCUUUGAAGUGUGGACGCCAGUCUGCAUGGAGCCGACCUUGAAAUACCACCCUUUAAUGUUUGAUGUUCUAACGUGGACCCGUUACCCGGGUUGCGGACAGUGUCUGGUGGGUAGUUUGACUGGGGCGGUCUCCUCCUAAAGAGUAACGGAGGAGCACGAAGGUUGGCUAAUCCUGGUCGGACAUCAGGAGGUUAGUGCAAUGGCAUAAGCCAGCUUGACUGCGAGCGUGACGGCGCGAGCAGGUGCGAAAGCAGGUCAUAGUGAUCCGGUGGUUCUGAAUGGAAGGGCCAUCGCUCAACGGAUAAAAGGUACUCCGGGGAUAACAGGCUGAUACCGCCCAAGAGUUCAUAUCGACGGCGGUGUUUGGCACCUCGAUGUCGGCUCAUCACAUCCUGGGGCUGAAGUAGGUCCCAAGGGUAUGGCUGUUCGCCAUUUAAAGUGGUACGCGAGCUGGGUUUAGAACGUCGUGAGACAGUUCGGUCCCUAUCUGCCGUGGGCGCUGGAGAACUGAGGGGGGCUGCUCCUAGUACGAGAGGACCGGAGUGGACGCAUCACUGGUGUUCGGGUUGUCAUGCCAAUGGCACUGCCCGGUAGCUAAAUGCGGAAGAGAUAAGUGCUGAAAGCAUCUAAGCACGAAACUUGCCCCGA